CCAUUGUUUCUCAUCCCAGCAGAGAACAAAGUGACACAACAAGCGUCUUGUUCUACGAGAGUUAGAGAGAGAAAAAAUAGUUUCUCCUAGAGAGUGUUAUUGUUCUCCUAUUUACAAGAGACUGCAAUUAUUCAAAUUCACUAGAGUUAUCUCAUCAAUUUGCAAGGCAAAACCCAUUAUCACCUUUGCAUUUGUGCAAAUUAUUCAUCAUGGUUCGUCUAUUGGGAAAUUUUACACAAGAAAAACUUGUCCAAGUGCUGAAUUCUUCUAUGUCAAGCCAAGUUAGAUCCUCGUUCAAAACAACACGUGGUGGAUCAAGGAGGUCAGACCUUAGCAAUGGGAGUGGUGGACAAAUUAAUAACAUUGGAACAAAGAAGGAGAAGGAGGGUGUUAGCAAGGGAAAGAGAGAAAUCAAAAGCCCCGCUUGGAUGAAGGAUUUCUAUCGUUACUGAGGGGGUGCAACUAUCACUAGCUUUAUUUUAUUAUGUAACUAUUAAAACACUAUGUUAUUGUCUUCUAGGCCCAAUAGUAGGCUAGCCCUAGAUAUAAAAGUGUAAUGUUGUCUCCGCCUUCAACAGAGAAUGAAUUGAAUGCAUUUUAUUUGUGUUUUA